UUUUUCUAGAUAAUGUAGGAUUUUACCUGGUUUUGUAUUGUGAGAUGCACCUAUGCAUUAAUUUGUUUAUAGUUGUAGCGCAGUGAUGAGGUUAAAUUAUUUAAGAGGACACAACAGGUUCCGAAUUGAAAUUUGAGCCCACGGAUGUGAACAAUUGAACUUUAUACCAAAGUAAGUUCUAGAGAGUUUUUAACGCAUCAAGAAAAAAG
rnacentral:lncRNA from 1 species